AUGUACAUUCCUACAACGUUAAUGUACUAGAUCUCAUUAGAACUCCAUAGUUAAGCGUGCUUGGGAUAUAGUAGUAUUGGGAUGGGUGACCUCUCGAGAAGUCCUAGUGUUUUACAUG
rfam:Picea glauca, whole genome shotgun sequence.